UGGGGAAUAUUGCACAAUGGAGGGAACUCUGAUGCAGCGACGCCGCGUGAACGAAGAAGGCUUUCGAGUCGUAAAGUUCUUUUAUAUGGGAAGAUAAUGACGGUACCAUAAGAAAAAGCCUCGGCUAACUACGUGCCAGCAGCCGCGGUAAUACGUAGGGGGCUAGCGUUGUCCGGAAUCACUGGGCGUAAAGGGUUCGCAGGCGGAAAUGCAAGUCAGGUGUAAAAGGCAGUAGCUUAACUACUGUAAGCAUUUGAAACUGCAUAUCUUGAGAAGAGUAGAGGUAAGUGGAAUUUUUAGUGUAGCGGUGAAAUGCGUAGAUAUUAAAAAGAAUACCGGUGGCGAAGGCGACUUACUGGGCUCAUUCUGACGCUGAGGAACGAAAGCGUGGGUAGCAAACAGG
rnacentral:rRNA from 3 species